AACGAACGCUGGCGGCAUGCCUAACACAUGCAAGUCGAACGAGACCUUCGGGUCUAGUGGCGCACGGGUGCGUAACGCGUGGGAACCUGCCCUUAGGUUCGGAAUAACUCCCCGAAGGGGGUGCUAAUACCGGAUAAUGUCUUCGGACCAAAGAUUUAUCGCCUUUGGAUGGGCCCGCGUUGGAUUAGCUAGUUGGUAGGGUAAAAGCCUACCAAGGCGACGAUCCAUAGCUGGUCUGAGAGGAUGAUCAGCCACACUGGGACUGAGACACGGCCCAGACUCCUACGGGAGGCAGCAGUGGGGAAUAUUGGACAAUGGGCGAAAGCCUGAUCCAGCAAUGCCGCGUGAGUGAUGAAGGCCUUAGGGUUGUAAAGCUCUUUUACCCGGGAUGAUAAUGACAGGACCGGGAGAAUAAGCUCCGGCGAACUCCGU
rnacentral:rRNA from 1 species